UAACACAUGCAAGUCGAACGAUGAAAGAGAAUCCGAUCUCUUCGGAGUGAAGAAUCUCUGGAUUAGUGGCGGACGGGUGAGUAACGCGUGAGCAAUCUGCCUUACACAAAGGGAUAGCCUCGGGAAACCGGGAUUAAUACCAUAUGAUAUCUAUUAACCGCAUGGUAAAUAGAUUAAAGAAUUUCGGUGUAAGAUGAGCUCGCGUCCCAUUAAUUAGUUGGUGAGGGUAACGGCCCACCAAGAUAGCGAUGGGUAGCCGAUCUAAGAGGAUGACCGGCCACAUUGGAACUGAGAAACGGUCCAAACUCCUACGGGAGGCAGCAGUGGGGAAUAUUGCACAAUGGGGGAAACCCUGAUGCAGCGACGCCGCGUGAGCGAUGAAGGCUUUCGAGUCGUAAAGCUCUGUCCUAUGGGAAGAUAAUGACGGUACCAUAGAAGAAAGCCCCGGCUAAUUACGUGCCAGCAGCCGCGGUAAUACGUAAGGGGUGAGCGUUGUCCGGAAUUAUUGGGCGUAAAGAGUGCGUAGGCGGCAAAUUAAGUCAGAUGUGAAAACUAAGGGCUCAACCCAUAGAUUGCAUCUGAAACUGAUAUGCUUGAGUCAAGGAGAGGAAAGUGGAAUUCCUAGUGUAGCGGUGGAAUGCGUAGAUAUUAGGAGGAAUACCGGUGGCGAAGGCGACUUUCUGGACUUGAACUGACGCUGAGGCACGAAAGCGUGGGGAGCAAACAGGAUUAGAUACCCUGGUAGUCCACGCCGUAAACGAUGAUUACU
rnacentral:rRNA from 1 species